GAUGAACGCUGGCGGCGUGCCUAAUACAUGCAAGUAGAACGCUGAAGGAAGGAGCUUGCUCUUUCCGGAUGAGUUGCGAACGGGUGAGUAACGCGUAGGUAACCUGCCUGGUAGCGGGGGAUAACUAUAGGAAACGAUAGCUAAUACCGCAUAACAGUAGAUGUUGCAUGAUAUCUACUUAAAAGGUCCAAUUGCACCACUACCAGAUGGACCUGCGUUGUAUUAGCUAGUUGGUGAGGUAACGGCUCACCAAGGCGACGAUACAUAGCCGACCUGAGAGGGUGAUCGGCCACACUGGGACUGAGACACGGCCCAGACUCCUACGGGAGGCAGCAGUAGGGAAUCUUCGGCAAUGGACGGAAGUCUGACCGAGCAACGCCGCGUGAGUGAAGAAGGUUUUCGGAUCGUAAAGCUCUGUUGUAAGAGAAGAACGAGUGUGAGAGUGGAAAGUUCACACUGUGACGGUAUCUUACCAGAAAGGGACGGCUAACUACGUG
rnacentral:rRNA from 1 species